AGAGUUGAUCCUGCUCAGAUGAACGCUAGCGGAGCUAACACAUGCAAGUCGAGGGGCAGCAUUUCUAGCUUGCUAGAAGAUGGCGACCGGCGCACGGGUGCGUAACGCGUAUGCAACUUGCCCUAAACUGGAGGAUAUCCCAAAGAAAUUUGGACCAAUACUCCAUAGUAUCACGAAUUCGCAUGUUUUUGUGAUUAAAGCUUCGGCGGUUUAGGAUGGGCAUGCGUCCCAUUAGCUUGUUGGUGAGGUAACGGCUCACCAAGGCUACGAUGGGUAGGGGGCCUGAGAGGGUGAACCCCCACACUGGUACUGAGACACGGACCAGACUCCUACGGGAGGCAGCAGUGAGGAAUAUUGGUCAAUGGAGGAAACUCUGAACCAGCCAUCCCGCGUGAAGGAUGAAUGCCCUAGUGGUUGUAAACUUCUUUUAUAUAGGAAUAACCGUAGGUACGUGUACCUGCCUGAAUGUACUAUAUGAAUAAGCAUCGGCUAACUCCGUGCCAGCAGCCGCGGUAAUACGGAGGAUGCAAGCGUUAUCCGGAUUUAUUGGGUUUAAAGGGUCCGCAGGCGGACUAUUAAGUCAGUGGUGAAAGCCUGUAGCUUAACUACAGAACUGCCAUUGAUACUGAUAGUCUUGAGUCUGGUUGAAGUGGGCGGAAUAUGACAUGUAGCGGUGAAAUGCAUAGAGAUGUCAUAGAACACCAAUUGCGAAGGCAGCUCACUAAACCAGUACUGACGCUCAGGGACGAAAGCGUGGGGAGCGAACAGGAUUAGAUACCCUGGUAGUCCACGCCGUAAACUAUGAUCACUCGAUGUCGGCGAUACAAUGUCGGUGUCUAAGCGAAAGUGUUAAGUGAUCCACCUGGGGAGUACGUUCGCAAGAAUGAAACUCAAAGGAAAUUGACGG
rnacentral:rRNA from 1 species